rnacentral:rRNA from 1 species
GACGUAGGAUGCAAGCGUUGUCCGGAUUUAUUGGGCGUAAAGAGUUCGUAGGUGGUUUGUUAAGUCUGAUGUUAAAGACUGGGGCUCAACCUCGGAAAUGCAUUGGAUACUGGCAGACUUGAGUGUGGUAGAGGCAAUCGGAAUUCCAGGUGUAGCGGUGAAAUGCGUAGAUAUCCGGAAGAACACCGGUGGCGCAAGCGGAUUGCUGGGCCAUAACUGACACUGAGGAACGAAAGCUAGGGGAGCGAAUGGG